CGUAGGGUGCGAGCGUUAAUCGGAAUUACUGGGCGUAAAGCGUGCGCAGGCGGUUUUGUAAGACAGAUGUGAAAUCCCCGGGCUCAACCUGGGACCUGCAUUUGUGACUGCAAGGCUAGAGUACGGUAGAGGGGGAUGGAAUUCCGCGUGUAGCAGUGAAAUGCGUAGAUAUGCGGAGGAACACCGAUGGCGAAGGCAAUCCCCUGGACCUGUACUGACGCUCAUGCACGAAAGCGUGGGGGAGCAAACAGGAUUAGAUACCCUGGUAGUCCACGCCCUAAACGAUGUCAACUGGUUGUUGGGUCUUUACUGACUCAGUAACGAAGCUAACGCGUGAAGUUGACCGCCUGGGGAGUACGGCCGCAAGGUUG
rnacentral:rRNA from 1 species